CCACUUUUCCUAGAGAUGGACACACACUCUUGGUUCCAGUUGCAAAAGGAGAUAAUCUCUUUCUAUCUAUCUCUCUCUCUCUGUCACACACACACACACACACACACACACACACACACACUACUUCCUCUCCUUCUGGAUCCCAUUUUCUCUAUACUUCCCGCGGUGUUGGGGGCUGCUGUCACCUCCCUAGAGAGCGGAAGGAGCAGGGUGCAGGCGAGGGCAUUGCUGCAAAGUGCUCCAGCGAGUGUGGAAGCCUCUCUCCAAGGAAGAAAACCUCCAGCCCCGCAGUUAUCAGGAGCCAUCUAAACAAUUAGAAAGUUGGCAAUAAACCCAAGGGGUGGAGGCAAAUGACCCAAAAUUUGAAACCUGCUUCCUACGACCUCAACAUACCUAUGCCCAAGCCGCUAUUCACACUUGUGCAUCUACACACCUACAGACCUACCUAGCAAAAAGAAAAUAAACAUUUUAUUUUUUAAGCAGCAAGAUGGAAAAUGGAUCAACUCUGUGACUUCAGGAGGCGCUCCUUUCUUCUCGCCAAGCCUCUUUGUUUGACAAUAGCUUCUGUCCAGUCCUCUGGCAGAUGCAGACAGAUGUGAGCAGCCCCCCUCACUAUCCCCCACCCCUGGGUGAGGAGGAGUAGCUGGAGAUUCCCCUCAGGCUUCUGGGCAAAGGGUCCCCGCAGUAGGCGUCCCCCACCCGAAAAUCAGCCCGCCCCUGA
rnacentral:lncRNA from 1 species